GGAACUUCUCCCUUUUCCCUAAAUUUCUCAUUGGCUUAUAGCACACUGAACUCCAUUUUCAUCAGGAUAAAGGAAACAUUGACUUUCUAAUUUCUCUCAUUCGGGUGUUAUCCCGAUGCUGCCUGGCCUGCUGAGUUCCUCCAGUAUUCUGUGUGUGUUGCUAGUUUGGUGAAGUAAUUUCUUGCUCUAGACUUACAGAAGGCAGUCUAACUAUGUUAUUCUUUCUGUCUAGUGUGAAAGCUGUUAGCUGCGCGGGCUUUGGGGAGAAGGCGUGAGGAGGAUGAAGAGAGAAGAUGUGACUUGAGGAGUCGGUUGCCGGACCCGCUGGGCCUGGGCUCGGGGCAGGAGCCCAGGGGUCGAUGACGAGUGAAGGAGGAUCAGCGACAGGGAAUCCAUGAGCUCCAACAUUUGUGCACUGGACACGUUGAUGAGAUUUUUGGCGCCUUUUAUCUGUUUUCUCUUUUCUUUUGUUCUCUACUAACCCCAUACUUAAAUAAA